rnacentral:rRNA from 1 species
UCGAAAGAGAGCCGUAACACAGGUGCUGCAUGGCUGUCGUCAGCUCGUGUCGUGAGAUGUUGGGUUAAGUCCGCAACGAGCGCAACCCUUGUCAUUAGUUGCUACAUUCAGUUGGGCACUCUAAUGAGACUGCCGGUGACAAGCCGGAGGAAGGUGGGGAUGACGUCAAGUCCUCAUGGCCCUUAUAGGUGGGGCUACACACGUCAUACAAUGGCUGGUACAAAGGGUUGCCAACCCGCGAGGGGGAGCCAAUCCCAUAAAGCCAGUCGUAGUCCGGAUCGUAGUCUGCAACUCGACUACGUGAAGUCGGAAUCGCUAGUAAUCGUGGAUCAGAAUGUCACGGUGAAUACGUUCCCGGGUCUU